rnacentral:rRNA from 1 species
AACGAACGCUGGCGGCAUGCCUAACACAUGCGAGUCGAACGAUUGCCUUCGGGUGAUAGUGGCGCACGGGUGCGUAACGCGUGGGAAUCUGCCCUUAGGUUCGGAAUAACAGCUGGAAACGGCUGCUAAUACCGGAUGAUAUCGCGAGAUCAAAGAUUUAUCGCCUGAGGAUGAGCCCGCGUUGGAUUAGGUAGUUGGUGGGGUAAAGGCCUACCAAGCCGACGAUCCAUAGCUGGUCUGAGAGGAUGAUCAGCCACACUGGGACUGAGACACGGUCCAGACUCCUACGGGAGGCAGCAGUGGGGAAUAUUGGACAAUGGGCGCAAGCCUGAUCCAGCAAUGCCGCGUGAGUGAUGAAGGCCCUAGGGUUGUAAAGCUCUUUUACCCGGGAAGAUAAUGACUGUACCGGGAGAAUAAGCCCCGGCUAACUCCGUG